rnacentral:sRNA from 18 species
GUCAACGACCCAGGUCUAAAGACACUGGGCUUCGGGCCCAAGGUUUAAGGCGUAGUUGACUAGACUAAGGAAUGAGAAUUUAAUAACCUGUUAUUUUGAAAUUUGGAAUGGUGCGUUACGUGAUCCUAACAGCGCCCCACU